UUGGCACCGUGUUUCUGACUCCUGCAGAUGCCUCUUCCCAAGCAGUUGUUCCUUUGAGUAGUCAGUCUCAUGGUUCUAAUCGUGGCGAGAGCGGAUCUGACCACUUCCAUGUGCCUUUGUAUUUGGGAAAGAAAAGCAUGCAUUGGCUGAAAUGAAACAAAAGCCCUUACUUGGGAAAAGGGACCCCCACCAGCGGCCCUGCUUGCUCCGUAGCUGGGAACAUCUUUUCUGGUUUCCUGAGCCAGCACCUGAAUUGCAACGAAGCUCUGAGGAUACUCAACACCACCCAGCAGUGCGUCAGAAUGGAACGUACAUUCUCAUUCUCAGACUGUUCAAUAUGGUGCCCGUAACCUCCAAAGCCACACAGGAGGCUGCCAGCAGCAUUUUCCCCAAGGGCCUGAGCUCAGGGUCAAGUCCCUGCUGGCCAUCUUGGGGCUGUCACUGGGGGUCUGGGUCAAGGACAUCCCAGGAAUGGUAACUGCCACAUACCUCAUCUUCUUACUCCCCAGCUACUCUCUUUUCCUCAUUAGCCUUCCUGAUUAUUUAUUGAUUUCUUUUUUUUAUUCAACUGACAUUGUUUGCACCCUGGCUCUGUUGGUGGUCCUGGUGUUUUAAUGAAGCUUGCCUCACCCAGUAGCUGGGAAAUUAGGUGGGGGUGCUUAAGGGAGGUUUGUAGGAGUCCUCGGACGUGGGAUAUUGGGGGUAUCUAGGGCUUGGAUGGUUUGUGGAAUGUCCUCAGCAUCCUCCCGUCCCAACCCAACCUUCCUUCUUCCUCAUUGUGGACUUGGAUUUAUUCUCAGGCUAGGAGUCUCCAAAACUCCGUGAAACCUUAUUGCUGCUGGGUGUGGAGUGGAGAGUGACAGGAAUGUGGGGGACGGUGAUUGUUGGCUCCAGUUACUAAUGUUUAAGCAGAAAAACCACUUUCUUGUUGAAAAUAUCCCUGAAAAGGUCGCUGCUGCUUUGAGGAGGCGUGACUUUUUCCUGGUGGAGUGUGACGGAGGCAUGGGGCCUGUGCUCCCAGGCUCGGGGGAGCCCCCUCUGCACACGGGGAGGGAGGAACUUGGGGACAUCAGUCAUGGGUCACAGGUGGCUUCAGGCCAUUCACAAGAGUCCCCGGAAGUUGCGUGCCAAGUUUGGUUUUUUCCCUGAAUCUCUGCAUAUGAGCAUUUUUCUGGAGAAAGGACCAUAGCUUUUAUUAGAUUCUCAAAGGUUCAGAAUGGGGAAUGUGUUAAACAAACCGAAAACCUGUUUCAGCUUUAAAAUCCUCCAAAACUUUAAAGACUUUUCUUUUUUCUGAGAAAGGCUGGUAAAUCACUGAGUCAUCAUUCAGAACAUACAGCCUCGAAGGGCAGAGCUCACACCCAUAUAUGACGUUAAGAGCUCAACAAAUGUUUGUUGAGUGACUGAGUGACCCCAGGGGCAGACUCCAGAUCAUCAGACACUGAUACAGAGAGCGAUGCUAUCUCCUCAACUCUCCCUCUUCUCCUAAAAGCUGAGUCUAUAUAGGGAUGACAGGCUCAGGCUGAGCAGUCGACUUCUCUGGGUUUUGCUGUGUAAGAAUAGGUCCCUCAACAUGAAGAUGUGUCUGCGUCUGAGCCAGAUGCUGCCUGGGUCGGUUGCCUGGCCUCCGUCUGGUCUCCCUCCCUCCUACUAGGGUGGUCAAGCUGUGAGAUCUCUUCCAGCCUCCAAAUCCAGCUUUCCCAUUUUACUGAUGAGAAAAUCAAGGCCACAUUGCAGCUGGGUGGGGAGUGGAGCGUGACAGGCACGGGAGAGGACAGCGAUUGUUGACUCUAGUUCCUGAUGUUUAAUCAGAAAAACCACUUUUCCUGUAGAGCACAUUUCCUAAAAGGCUGCUGCUGUGUAGGGAGGUGUGGCCUUUUCCUGGUGCAGUGUGAAGGAGGGAAGUGACGGGCAGUCGUGAACUGUCUGGGACAGAUAGCACAAGUCAGAGUUUGAGCAAAACUAGGGUGUUACCGGCGCUAUGUUGAAAUUGUCUGGAGGCGGGCUUUCCCAGCGAGUCUCCAUUCAGCAUCUGGAAAAAGUGUAACCAGAAUGGAGGUGUCUGACUCUCCUGUGCUCUCUCAGCGCCGAGCUCUAGCUGCAGGCUGCCUGGGUGGCCUUCUCACACCCUCCCGUGCAGGAGACUGCAUUUCUCUUUCCCACAGCCCAGCAGAUAGCUCAUUGGCUUAGCAAUGGGCACUUAACAGAAUCCAGUUGUUGCAGCCAGAAUUAAAUGCACCAGUCUGGCUUAAACCAACUGGAACUCAUCCCUGGGGUGAAGGUGGCUGGGAAUUAGACAAGAGUGUGUGUUAGCCAAAAGGCACAUGCAUGCUGUCAGCAGGAGAAUGAGGAGCACUGGUUCUGGGCAGGCAGUGGCAGGGGCUCCCUCAGGCCCCUGAUUCCCAGCCCACAGCUCUUUCUACUCUGCAGACAGAGUUCCUUGGAGACUGGCCCUGCAUUCAGGCAGGGAGCAGAGGGGUCCCUGCCUGCAGCACCCAGAGCUGAACCUGAAGCUACAAAGAUGGGCUGAUGAGGUGGCCCAUGAGGUGUCAGCAACAUCCCAACCCCCUGGGUCUCCCCAGUGAGUCAGGGCACUGAUUUGCUAUAGCUGGAGCUACAUGCACCUCUCCUCCCCUCAGCCACCUUUUAGGGGAGAAAGGAGGGCAGAUUUGUAACCUCUGGUUCUCUGCAGGGAUCCUGGGCUGGAAGAAAGUUCAUAAAUGGAUGAAUGCCUUUUAAAACUCCAGCUUUUCCAAGCAUCAUUCACCAAAGCAUUUGGUUAGGCUUAGAGAGAAAAGCUGGAUAUGAGAAAAUAGAAUGUAAAAUAGGAGGGAAAAAAAAAAAGAAGGUGGAGAGGGCAGUUAAGAUCUGGGUGAUUCUUUAGGGAAACGGCUGGUUGAGAGGCUUUGAUGGAAUCCCAUUCUCUGCUGUGGCCAGAAGGUGGUGCUAGAGGCCAGUCCCACUUGGAUGUGACCCUGGCCUCUGCCAGGAUUCAAACCACAAAGAACAUUUGGAACUGGGAUGUUUGCUUUGAAGCAGCCCGAAAACAAGUGAAAGGAAACCAAGAUAACUCUCUCUCCCUCCGCUGGCAAGGAUCAAAAAUACCUUGUGCAGGGAAGCCCGAGCCUCGAGGGGCCACUGCCCAGCUAAAGAUGACUGGACACCAGCCAUGCACCAUCAGGAACCAGCACCUGUCCUCACCCCUGAGAAGAGCCCCGGGGGUAUCAUUAUAUCCAUCGCAGACAUCUGGUUUGCAGCAAAUGUGGCUACACGCCAUCAGGAUUAUCCUGCCCUGUGGACUGGGCUAGCUAGUUUUGAGAUAGAGUCAACCUCCCCAUUUUUGUUUGUCAUGAAAACACCAGCUCCUGCACCCCUGGGGUGCUACCUGACACCUGUGCAAAGAAAAGGAGGAAAACUUAGAAGAAAAGGCAGAGACAGGCAAGACAGCAUCUCACAGCUUGUCAGGAUCAGGGCAUUACCGACUAUUUUUUCUUACCAAAAGAGCACUGAAUUUCCUAGGGGAAGGUGAGCCACCUUUACACCUCCUGUCCUCCCUCCCAGCCCGUCAAGCGAUCCCAUCACCCAGCCUCAUCACUCAGCUUCUUCCUAGUACAAAACUGCCAUCGGUUGUACGUCCUGAGCUGUGGGACGUCAGCUUUAACCCUAGCCUGUCUCAGGGCCUCGCCCUCCAGCCCCCCGCCCCUUAGGGUGAUCGUGGGUUUCUUCCCUUCCUCCUGCACAAUCGCUUCCCUUCACUGAAUUCCCUUCAAAGCCAAAGUUUCUUGAGCACUUUUUCUUGUGUGCAGUCUUGUGUGUUUGGGUGUUGGUGUUUUUAAAUUUGCUUUCUAUUCCCCCCUGCCUCUCUCCAUGUCGUUACGCAGCUGAGCACUGGUUGGGAUGCAUUCGAAUGACUUCAGCAAGAUCCUGCUUUCCUCAGCCCCCGCUCUGUUUUAUUUAUUGUUUAAUAUUUCCAAUGAUCCAAAUCAAAGUGAAUAAACAAAGAGCUAUUUUA
rnacentral:lncRNA from 1 species